ensembl:lncRNA
UAGCCGUGUGACAGCGUGCGGGGCUGCUUGUGCAAGUGUGUGUGUGUGUGUGUGUCAGGGACUGCAGUAAAUAUUGUACACUAGAGGCGGGGUUUGACCCGCUCUGAAAACAUCACUAAUCCAGUAUUUCAGGUGGCUGUAGCCAGCCGCGACUCACUACCGCCGCGCAUCAACUACAGCCGAACCGACAGACUACGCUACCAGCCGAGGGAAAGAGACGGCAUUUCAUGCGCUGAAGUUAUGAAACAAGAGUGAAAUCCUUAGAAUGAACUCGGCAACUCAUAAGUAAUAUACGACUGGAUAAACUAUACAUAUUUCUACUUCUGUGGUCAACUAUUACUUCCGCCGUCAAACCGCGUCAACGUCCAGAUGAUCUCUUUCGCGAGUUUCUUAUAAGCUAUAAAGGAUAAUAUUCAUCAAUAUAUUUUUUUGUGGAAUUGAAGCAAGCCCAAGGGACUUUGGUUCAUUCAUCUCUUUGAUGGUGAGUAAUAUCCUGCUCUUGCUUGAGUGUGUGGUGCAAACUUUUCCACGCCAUUUUAGCGUUCAAUGCGCAUGUGGAGGAAAUCUACCUGAUUCAGGUAAAAGGCAAGGGUAUGCUAAGCUAUGCCAAGUCAGGUUACAAAUACUAACUUUACUAGACCAAACAUCACGAUUUUACAUGCCUUGUGUCUGACCAAAAGUUAACUUCAGUGGUGUGUCCACAGGGUACGGCAACAGGGAAGAUGUUGCAAUUCCGAAUCAUUUUGUGCCGCUGGAACGGCUUCACUUAAAGCAACUUUGUAGUAUUUCUGCGUCGCAUCUUCCUGGCAGCUCUUUUUCCGAAGGAGACGGUCUGUUCCUCCCUAGUUUGUUGCUAUCCUCCGCAAACCCGAACACUGAUAUUCCUUUUGCUCUUUGCAAUUUGUAAACACAUGGUCUGUUGUCACUCUUUGCUGAACUCGAAUGAUCUCUUGUAAAAACUUUGGAUCGCAUCGUGCACCGCAAGCUGCCGUGGUUAAUAAAUGUCGUGUUUCAAAGUGGACUAGUGGGAAAACGUCUCUUACUCCCGGGAAGUGAUACUUGCCUCGUUGUUGUUGUUUUGAAACGAACCUCUAUGCACUAACUGCUGGGUAACACCCCACGUCAUGCCGCAUAGCAAAUUAAUCUCAUUUAUACGAAUCGAUGCCCGGGGCUGGCUUGUGGAAGUAUAUGUUAUUCCAACUCAUGUAUGAGACUAGUGAGAGUUAUCUGUGUUAUUUGGUGUUCAGUAGAACGUACCCUGAAAUUGCUUCGCUGGAGGGGACGACAGAUAAGUCAAUGCAGAUAUUACAGAAGUUAUAUAAAGAACACGUUAUUCGUAGCAUAUGCCUAAAACAGGGCAACAGCCGAUGAGGGAGGGUGAAGAUGAAAUGCACGUUGUGCUCGCAGAGAUAACAAAACUAUUCUGAAUGUACGCAGGACUGCGCUGAGUCUUGCGGGUAGGGGAACGGGGAAAAGUGACAGCUAUUCAGCACGCCGGUGAUUUAGGCUGUGUCAUGCGGACAGACGUUCUGUUCUCUCUAAAGCACACAUGUCUUGUAACGUAAAGUGUUCGUUAUCAGAGCCGUGCUUCCUGUUUGGUUUAAAAUCAGGGCUGGGAGAGGCUGCGUUUGCCUUUUAAUCUUUAUCUAAACUUAUCUGCAUGUGUUGUAAAUGUGGGGGAAAACAUUGUGUUUUUAGCUGCUCAUCUAUGUAGUGCGUGAACUCCCUGCUUGCAAAACAGUCAGUGAGUAAGUGAGUGUGUGUGUGUGUGUGUGUGUUUGUAGGCUUGUGUGUGUGUGAGUGAAUGUGUCUGUGUGAUUGUGAGUGUGUGUGUUUGUGUGUGUUUUUAGCGAAACAGUAAGUGAGUGAAUGUGUUUGUGUGUGUAGGCUUGUGUGUGUGUAGCGAAACAGUGAGUGAGUGUGUUUGUGUGCGUAGGCUUGUGUGUUUGUGUGUGUGUGUGUGUGUAGCGAAACAGUGAGUGUGUUUGUGUGCGUAGGCUUGUGUGUGUGUAGCGAAACAGUGAGUGAGUGAGUGUGUUUUGUGUGUAGGCUUGUGUGUGUAGGGAAACAGUGAGUGAGUGUGUUUGUGUGUGUAAGCUUGUGUGUGUGUAGCAAAACAGUGAGUGAGUGAGUGUGUUUGUGUGUGUGUAGGCUGGUGUGUGUGUGUGUGUGAAUGUGUGUGUGUGUGUAGGCUGGAUUAAAAGUGUUUUCUGUGGCGAGAUCCAAGAAAAGCAAGGCCCAAACUCCUGCUCUCAUGUAUUUUGGUUUAAUUAAUUAGCUUCUGUGUGAAAUAACACCCUUUGUGUGUGUGUGUGUGUGUGUGUAAUCUGUGUGUCUACUACCCGGGAUAGAAACACAUCGCUCAGAUAUGCACUGCUGCUUGCCCAUCAGAAGCCCUCUGA